UCUCUGAUUACUACCCAGAGCCGGUGACCGUGUCCUGGAACUCGGGCGCCCUGACCAGUGGCGUGCACACCUUCCCGUCCGUCCGGAAGUCCACGGGGUUCUACUCCCUCAUCAGCAUGGUGACCGUGCCUGCCAGCACCUGGACCAGCGAGACCUACAUCUGCAACGUAGCCCACCCGGCCAGCAGCACCAAGGUGGACAAGAGAAUCGAGGGCGUUAUCCCCAUCCCAUCGGUCCCCAAGCCCCAGUGUCCCCCGUACACAGGAGGGCCUUCCGUCUUCAUCUUCCCCCCGAAUCCCAAGGACGCACUCAUGAUCUCCCGAACGCCCGUGGUCACUUGCGUGGUGGUAAACUUGAGCGAUCAAUACCCCGAUGUCCAGUUCUCCUGGUAUGUGGACAACACGGAGGUACACUCGGCCAUCACGAAGCAGAGGGAGGCGCAGUUCAACAGCACCUACCGCGUGGUCAGCGUCCUCCCCAUCCAGCACCAGGACUGGCUGAGUGGAAAAGAGUUCAAGUGUAGCGUCACCAACGUAGGAGUCCCACAACCCAUCUCGAGGGCCAUCUCGAGAGGCAAAGGACUGUCCCGGGUUCCGCAGGUAUAUGUGCUGCCCCCACACCCAGACGAGCUGGCCAAGAGCAAGGUCAGCGUGACCUGCCUGGUCAAAGACUUCUACCCACCUGACAUCAGUGUCGAGUGGCAGAGCAACAGGUGGCCGGAGCUAGAGGGCAAGUACAGCACCACCCCAGCCCAACUGGACGGCGACGGGUCCUACUUCCUGUACAGCAAGCUCUCCUUGGAGACAAGCAGGUGGCAGCAGGGAGAGUCACUCACGUGUGCGGUGAUGCAUGAGGCUCUCCACAAUCACUUCACGAAGACAGACAUCUCCGAGUCUCUGGAGAUGGCCCUGGAUGAGAGCUGUGCCGAGACCCAGGACGGGGAGCUGGACGGGCUGUGGACCACCAUUUCCAUCUUCAUCACGCUCUUCCUGCUCAGCGUGUGCUACAGCGCCACCGUCACCCUCUACAAGGUGAAAUGGAUCUUCUCCUCGGUGGUGGAGCUGAAGCGGACGAUCGUCCCCGACUACAGGAACAUGAUCGGGCAGGAGGUCUAGGGUCACUCACCUGGAUGGGUGUCCAUGGCCGCCCCAGACUUUAGACGGCAUCCACGUCCAGCAGGUCAUGCUGCUCAGCUGCCGUGCAGACCUGCUCCUCUUCUUCUGACCUCAGCAAAUGCUGACCUACUGCCCUCUGACCUUAGGGCCACCUUUGGCCUGCACCUCGCCUUCUGGCCUUGCAGCCACCGCAGUCUGCAUCCUGCCUGCUGGCCCAUGUGGAGAACCGAAUGGACAGCAGUUGUAACCCCAAGCAGAGUUGACGGACGCCCACCGGCCCCCUCGCAGCAGCCACCAAGCAACACCAGGACCAUGUGCACUGAGGCCUCGGGCCUGAGUGUCCCUCACCAGGACGGCCCAAGGUUGCACGUCUGAAACCCUGUAGGAGGUGGAGAGCCGGCCUUCCCGUGAUCAUCUUGGCAGGGACAGGGCUGCAUGCAAACUGCACGGUGCCAGCCUCCAGGACACGGGAGGAGACGCCCGGUUUCAGAUCCUCAAGUGGGAGCACCUGCCCCAAGGCCUGGAGGCCCCGGGGCCAUCGUCCACCAGCAGGGAAGCUUCCGGGUGUGCCCCUCACGGUCACUCGGAUCACAACCACCCGAGGAGACUGCUAGAAGGAGGACCUGUGCCCACGGCCGUGGGAGAAGCCCCAGUGGGUGGAGGCGGCAACAGCUGGGGAGGGUCAGUGUCCAGCCAGAUGGCGUCCUGGGGAGGGGCCCAAGUCCCCUUCCGCAGGAACUCCGAGUUGCUCCACGGGGCAGCGGGGAGAGACAAGAACACCGAGGAAAGAGCCAGGGCCUUGGGAAGCUGGGCCAGGUGGACCGAGCCAGACCCCCGACCUCACCAACCCAGGAACCAGUGCCCCCUCACGUCUCUGAACAAAGGGCAAGUCAGCAUCUCUGGACGGGCAGGACACGGCUGCGCACGGGAAGCAGAGGCGGCCCCACCCCGCCUGCCAGGGCCCUGCACAGAGACGGCUCAAAGGAAAGCCCACAGUGGGAGCUUAGAUAGCUUUUCUCCUUCUUGAAGUUUCUGUAGCCCAUAGAUCGUCUUUACAGUUUCUUUUUCUAAAACAAUAAUAAAAUACCUGGAAAAUUCCAUAACUGCUCAUGUUGAUGCCUCGUGGAACCCACAGCCUGGCCGAGUCGUGCAUCGGGGCUCCCUCCACACCCUCACAG